ensembl:lncRNA
GCACUCUGUACUCCAGCCAAUGCUGGCAUUCACUAAACGCUUGUGGAGAUCAGUGAGUUAAUGACCAAGCUGUUCAUCUUCUUCCUUUGAACCUGACGGGAGCACAAGCACUACAGGGAGUGGAGGUGAAAGCAGGCAGUGGAUGGUUUUCUCCACUCUCUGCAGUAAUAAGCUGUGGUCCAGCAGACCAGCCAGUGUCUAGCCUGGAUGUUCUCCUGAGUGUUUACCAGGGUACCUGCCUACUUUCACCUGGUUGGAGUUACCGUAGUGAGGAGUAAUACUUGCAUCAUCUGGAGUUUGUGGCCACGCACAGACAUCCCCUUCUGAAUCCAGCUGCACGAGUGGAAGGCAUUACUCUUUGUGUGAGGUAUGGUCAGCUGGGCUCACUCACAUCACCAGUGGAAACCGUGGGAGUUGAACCCAUCGAUUUUGUCUGAAACAGAUUAAGGAAUACUAAUACCAAUGGCUCUGCCAGCAAAACUACGGGGUGAGAACUCCAUCAGGCAGAAAGUGAAGAGCAUCAGGGAGGUACUGGGAAGAGGAAAUCUCUCCCCCUUCAGGGCUGGCCUUGGAGGAGGACGUCUGCCAAAAAAGGAAUGGCUCCAGAGAAGCAGAGUGGCUCAGUGGUGUCAGUGGCAGGAGCUGCCUCACUCUCCUCGUACAGACAGACUUGGAGCAGAACAGUCUUGUUCAUUCCCGGUCUGAGACAAUACCCAUUCAAAUAGAUGGAACUAAUCCCACUAACAAGGGCGUGCUGAACAGCCUUUGGCUGCUCCUCUAAGACUGCUGACAAGGGCCAGUAGUGACUGUGGGAUCUGUGGUUAAAGCUGAAAUCGUUUCCCUGAUUUCAUUGGGGAGAGAGGCAGCAAACCAGGUCCAGCUGGUGCUGGAAGCAGCUCUGGGCCCUGCAGAUUUGGUCAGGAGUUUCCCUCUGUUUCUCAGGGAAGCUGUUGUCCCCUGAAACCCACUGGGCUGGGGAGCCAGCCCCUAAUUGCCAGCACCUGACGUACACAAGGCUUCAUUUCUGACUUGGAGAUGAAACACAAUGCAAUUACCCAAUCUGGUUCAAAUUACAACUCAGUUUGGGCACAGUUUGCAAACUACAGUCCUCUUUGGGAAGGUAUUUGUUCAUGACAGCUAGAAAGGCUUAAAUAAAGUCCCAGCAAGUGCCUGUGCCAAUGCUGGAGUGAGGACAGCAUGGAGCGUGACUGUACCUCUUCCCAAAACCAUGCAGAGAGGCAGCAACCAGUUGGAGGUUCUCUGGGAGAAGCAUCCUUCCCACACAUCCUUUCUCAAAAUCCACUGCCAUGUGAAGAAAUCUCACACAGACAUGAGACCCAACUAUAAGAGAGACUUUGGGGCUGGUUCCUCUGGACAGAGCAGCAAAGAAAGCAGCCUUCCUUCCACUUCCUCAUUGCCAUGUCCCUGUACUUUCC